rnacentral:rRNA from 1 species
ACGGAGGGGGCUAGCGUUGUUCGGAAUCAUUGGGCGUAAAGGGCGCGUAGGCGGCCGAUCAAGUCGGAGGUGAAAUCCCUCGGCUCAACUGAGGAAUUGCCUUCGAUACUGUUCGGCUUGAGUCCUGGAGAGGGUAGCGGAAUUCCCGGUGUAGCGGUGAAAUGCGUAGAGACCGGGAAGAACACCAGUGGCGAAGGCGGCUACCUGGACAGGUACUGACGCUGAAGCGCGAAAGCUAGGGGAGCAAACAGGA